rnacentral:misc_RNA from 1 species
UAAUUAGAAACUGAAAUGAAUGGUUGGACGAGAUAAUAACUGUCUCUAUCUUAAUUUUUAUAGAACUUUAUAUUUAAGUUAAAAAGCUUAAAUUUUUUUAAAAGACGAGAAGACCCUAUAGAGUUUUAUUUAAUUAUUAAUUUAAUUUUAAUAGAAUUUUUUUAAUUUAAUAAAUAAUUAAAUUUUGUUGGGGUGACAUAAAAAUUUAAAUAACUUUUUAUAAUUUAAACAUUAAUUUAUGCUUAAUUGAUCCAUUUUUUAUGAUUAUAAGAUUAAAUUACCUUAGGGAUAACAGCGUAAUUUUUUUUUAGAGUUCUUAUUGAAAAAAAAGGUUGCGACCUCGAUGUUGGAUUAAAAUUUAUAUUUGGUGUAGUAGCUAAAUUGAUUAAGUCUGUUCGACUUUUAAAAUUUUACAUGAUCUGAGUUUAAACCGGUGUGAGCCAGGUUGGUUUCUAUCUUUAAAAAAAUAAAAUAUUUUAGUACGAAAGGACCAAAUAUUAAUAAUAUUUAUUUAAAUAGAAUAAUUUUAAUUACUUUGGCAGAAUAGUGUAUUAAAUUUAGAAUUUAAUUAAGUAAUAAAUAUUACAAGUAAUAC